GACGAACGCUGGCGGCGUGCUUAACACAUGCAAGUCGAACGAAAAGAGGGAAAGAGCUUGCUCUUUCCGGAAUUGAGUGGCAAACGGGUGAGUAACACGUAAACAACCUGCCUUCAGGAUGGGGACAACAGACGGAAACGACUGCUAAUACCGAAUAAGUUCCAAGAGCCGCAUGGCCCAUGGAAGAAAAGGUGGCCUCUACCUGUAAGCUAUCGCCUGAAGAGGGGUUUGCGUCUGAUUAGCUGGUUGGAGGGGUAACGGCCCACCAAGGCGACGAUCAGUAGCCGGUCUGAGAGGAUGAACGGCCACACUGGAACGGAGACACGGUCCAGACUCCUACGGGAGGCAGCAGUGGGGAAUCUUCCGCAAUGGGCGAAAGCCUGACGGAGCAACGCCGCGUGAGUGAUGACGGCCUUCGGGUUGUAAAACUCUGUGAUCCGGGACGAAAAGGCAGAGUGCGAAGAACAAACUGCAUUGACGGUACCGGAAAAGCAAGCCACGGCUAACUACGUG
rnacentral:rRNA from 1 species